rnacentral:lncRNA from 1 species
AAGACAAGCUUUUAUCUAAAGAUUCUGGUGAAGACCUGGCAGCCUUGGAUCUUAGAGAUGACAGGACACAAAGAGGGAAGUCCACCGAGGUCCUUCAAAGGACUCAGGCUUUCAAAGGUGGCAGCAAAGAUCUGUUGAAACCUUAAUCCUCAGCAUUCCAGAACACAGCUUCCUCAACGGCCAUCCCAUCUGUAAUUAGUUUGGAUGAAGUCUUCCUGGGAUAGGAUGGUCUGUGGUGUGAUGCCCCAAAGCAUGUCAUCCAAGAGAGAUAAGUCAAGGCCGUAUUUCAAGGAUGGUGGCAUGACUGCUUCAAGGACAGCAUGGAAUAUGGCGAGACAGUACGUUUGGUAUAUUUGCAGCUGCCUAGAGACGAUCUGAACAUUCCUAAUGAGCUUGAGGGGACAAUGACCAACCAAAUGAUGAGCAGGGAGCACCUCCACCAAGAACAGGAAAGCCUCAAGAGAAACAAAGUGCAAUAACAGCUUCCUCUGAACAUGGUGGUCUCCCAGCCUCCCUCAAUUGCUGUCCCUCUUCAAACAGAACACACUCAAACCCUUCAUGUCUCCAUCCCGUGGCACUGGGCUUG